UUGUUUUUUUGCAUCCCCCUGCUAUUCAGUCCACCAGGAGUCAAGUACGUGACUGUAUUGGAGAGAGAAAAGGAGAUAGAAAUACCGGGACCGCGCUAUUCUUAUAUUUGCGUUACGCAACGAAUUCUAACUUCUCGAUUGAAGCGUCAAACUACGGACGAGUUGACUAACAUCGCCUGAACAUUUAAAGCCUUACUACUACAAUGAAAUUGUAUUCCAGAUCUGUAUAGAUCGUGGUACAACCUACUUGUGUCCGAGAAUUAGGUAUCUUGAUUAAUUUGAUAUAAGAUUAAAUUAUAUUAUUUUCUUUACAUUUUUACAAAUUUAUUGCGUUUAUUAAUCAGAAAAAAUAUAGAAAUUUUACAUAGUAACUGUUACUGGACAAUCCGUCCCACUAGGUUUGACAUAUUUUUUCGUAAAUGUAAUAAAAGAGGAUUCUUAUCCGCAAAUUUAUGUCCACUAUCGAGUUCUCUGAUAAAACUGAAUAUUUAUUAUGUAUUUCGAAACUUGUCAUUUUAUAUUGUGGGGUGUACAGCAAACAUAUCACUUCUUUCUUUCAAGGUUCAUAUUUUAGGUUAUGUGGCAUGAUGUUAAAUUGUAUUCUACACGUACCACAGAAAAUGCAUUUUCUGUAAUGAAAUCUUUCAACAAUAAAGUAAGAUACAUAUAUUUGCACUUUCUGUUUAUUCAUUUUUAUAGUUUACGACCGUGAUUGAAGAUAAAAUGUGAAAAACAUUUCAAGUUGAUACUAGAUUGAAAACAAUACCGUUGGAACAAUUUUACCUGAUAUAGAAGUAUAAUUUUAAAUUUUGCUUUGUUUUGAAUGGAUCUUUGGAGCUAUGGAAUAAAUUGUUACAUUUGAAUGAAUUUGGCUUACUCUUACAGGAUAUUACAGACUGCGAAUACUAAGAUACCAGAUGAGUUUGAUAAUAUUAAUCAUGUUAAAUGAAAUAUAUUAAUACGAUACAAUUAUCAAGUAAUCGGUAUCCAAUGUAUAUCUCUUUUUUAUACUAUAAUUUCUUUCUUUGGUAAAAGUAAUCACAUAUUAUGUACAUAAAAAAACAAUCAUAAGCAAGAACAUACUCCACUAUUAUAUUUAUAAAUUUUAUAUUUUCAGGCUAUUGAAUUAUAGAAAAUUUACAAUGAAAGAAGAGUCUACGUACGUGUUAACAGCAAUCAUUAAAUAAAAGUAUUAAAAUUGAAUGAAAGCAUUAAAAUUGAAAAUUCACAAAAAUUUGGAAAUCAUUUAACAAAGAACACCCAGGUUCUGCAUUAAUUGCAUACAUAAUUCAGGAAUGGAAUUGUACUUUAUUUAAAAGAAAGCAUGUGUCAUAAGAGACAGAACGAUAGAGAAUAAUUUCAUUGAAUAACAGGAUUCCAUGAUUUGAAUAGUUCAGAAACAAAGAAGAAGAUAAGGCAUUUCUUGUUCCAAAUGAAAUUAAGGUAGUAUCGAUAGCAGAAUAGCGAUUGGUAAGAAAAAUUGGAAAGUAUAUGCCAGAAACAGGCUUACUAACUGUGGACUCUGACCACUGCUUUUCGGACAUUUGCAAUUUCCGGCAAUACACACUGUAUUAUUUCGACUGAAAAAAUGCUCUGAUUCGUCUUUGUUCUUGGUAUAAAUGAUUUCGGUAGGCAAUCGAUUGUUUACGCUUUUAAUAUUAUUCGAUGAGAGUCUCAUGGAGCUUUUCCCAUCUGCACAAGUAUCAUUUAUGCUAAUGCUUUCCGCCGCAACUACGUUUGCACUCGAAUUGGAAAAAACACAGUUCUCGAUAUAGACGAUAUUACCUUCGAUCAAUAUAUAACCCGGUUUAUUCAAUUGAAACUUGGAAUGAAGAAUCUCUACGGUUGAGAAGUAAGCGAAAUUCAACGAACCUGUAACAUUUUGAAAUUCACUAUUUUUAAUGUGUAGAGUUUCACCCUUUGCCGAGAAACUAAGCUGAUCGAUACGUUCGAUCGUAACAUUAAUCAUCGAAAAGUUGGUUAUCGUUAUGUCGGUGAAUCGUUCCGCGAAAUUACUAAUCAGCGUAUCUUCGAUACGAAGUGUUUCAAUGCUUUUAAGCCUAACAAAUGUGUCACGACUAAUUAAUGGUAUUCGCCCAAUUCUCGACAACUUGAGUCGUUUUAAUCUUUUUGAUGUUAAAAAUAAUUCAAAGAUCAAACGUUCACUAAUAUUUUGCACGAUAAUUUCCGUAAUUUGACUCGCUUCCGUUAAACUGGAAAAAUGAAGAUUCGCAAUGUUGCAGGACGCGAUUUGUAUAGUCGUCACAUUUUCAUAGUUGUAUCCUUCUGGCAGGAAAAAUUCCUGUAAAGGAAAAGAAAUUUUGCAACGAAAUCCUUUUUGAAUUACUCACAUUACCCAUAGUUGGUUUGCAAAAUCACGCAAAACCGUUCGACAAAAAAUUUACCUCAUUUCCAAUGCAACGGCAAUCGACUGUCGUCAUUUCAUGAAUCUUGCAUUGUUCGCUGAUAUUACUUGCAGCUGUUAUCAGUAAUAGCGCGCAACUACUCAUCACUGUCGAUAUUGUCUUCAUUUCCUACAAUUUUGCAGAGAUUUAUCUCCGUAAAUUUCGUUUAUAGGCUGAACUUUAUCUCGUAUUUCCGAUCAACUCUUUUCCGUUAUAUGUGUAUAUCUUUCCUUCCUUCCUCCUUUCCUUCUUUAUAAAACAUUCACUGGGAUUGAAUUGCUUAAAAUUCACGAGUUUAGCAGAAGAAUGAAAAUUAUAAUGCACUUAAAGCGAAUUUACAUGAUAGAAACGUAAAAAAAAAUAACACGGUAUCACUACAAAGGUCGAACAUCGAAUAAACUCUUGCGAGAGGCUGAUCGUUAGGAUUAAGAUGGACACUUGUUUCAUGCCGCUUUCAUUUUGAAUGACAUACGGGUAAUUCGGUAGCAACACGUCCCAUCCAAUAAAUUUGGGAUAGGGUAACGUGCGUGAGUCAGUUCGCUCCAAACAUAUGGUACUCGACUAUUCAAUUUUGUACCGGAAAAGGAUAUAGUAUAUACAAAUGCGUCAACAGUUUGAUGAAGUUUCAACGUAUUCGAUAACUUUCGUUCUUUUCCUUAUUUUUCUUUAGUUCUGCAAUGCGGUUGUACAAAAAAAUGUCGGUUGCGAUAUUUUCCAUUAUGCGAUGUUAUUUUUAUAAUAAACUUGCCAUACUAUGUACAUAUGUAUAUAUACAAACUGUAUAUAUAUAUAUAUAUAGCCGAUGGUUAUGAAAUUUUGAAAGAAAAACAACACUUAUAUCUUAACUGUGUAUUUGUACCAUGGAUCUAUAUAACGAUAUUUCUACAACCUAAUUCCUGUUAAUGAAUUUGAUUUGUUUUCUUAUCCAUAUUUGGAAGACUGUAUAAAAAACGGUCUGUAGCAGAGAAACAGUUCAAAUGAUGAUGCGUGAACGAUAAUAUAUGCAUAUGUAAAACGAUACGAGAGAGUGCGGGGUAGCAACAUUGCAAUUAAAAUAUUGCGAUGCUGCGUUCGUCCUUAAGACCUUUUGUGAAAAAUCUCUCUGAUAGCUCCUUUCCUGUCUGUGGAAACAAGGUCUAACGGUGUUUUUCCUUCAUGAUUCGGUAAAUUCGUGUGGCCUCCGGCCUGAACCAAUAACCAACACACUUCCUUCUGCCUGUCGAAGGAAACGUUAGUCGACAUAGCUGCUACCGCGUGCAACGCUGUAUCGUGAUUGUAAUUGACGGCGUUCACCAAAUCAGAAGCCCAAGUAUCCAGUAAUAACUAUUGGUAGCGCGUUUGCGCAUAAAUCAAAUCGAUUAGAAAAGAUGAGAAAUAGCUAUGGUAAAAGUAGAACAAACCGACUCUCAAUGAAUAAAACAAUACCUUUACAAGAACAGGAUCGCAAUCCAAAGAAACCGCCAUAUGUAACGCAUUGUCUCCAUAUUUUGUUUCUUUGAUUCUAGGAUCUGCUCCGUAUUUUAACAGUAGUUUUAUCGUUUCCAAUGACGUGAUUCCUUUUGUAAAUGGUAUAUGCGAUUCGAUCGCAAUGUGGAGCGCUGUUCUACCUAGGUACGAGGAAACACAAACAAACGUCAAAUAGCCGGUUGCCUUGGAUGGUUCUCAAUGCCAACAAUUCAGCUAGAGUUUCUUCAUGAGAAUCCCCUUGUGCCGCGAUCGAAUGUAUCAGUGUAUCCCCCUGUAACAAGGAUGCAACAAUUUUAAGGAACGAAGAAAUCAGGAAGGCAUUAUGUAAAAACAUUUUGCAUAUUGAAAAAAUGACGAAGACAAAUAAGAAUGAUAGGAAGAAAGGAAGAGAGAGUAAUACUCGAGUAUGAUACAAUCGUUGACUGAAGUCGAUUCCUUUUUCCAACAUAGUCGCAGCUAAAUAACCAGCAACGAACGGAAAUUGUGGACAAUUCAGAGCAGCCAAGUAAAGCGCAUCAUCGCCGCGAUUGUUCAUAAUCGUUAAAGCUCCUGUGAUUGUACUCAUACGUUCUACGAGUGGUACCAAAUAGGCCAUCUUUUGAACAAGUUCGUUCGGGUUGCCAACCAGGCACAUCAGUUUUCUGUGGGAAGAAAGGCAAUUACAUCGAGCAGCUCACGAGUACAUAAUCGAUCGAUUUGAAAUCACUUACGUAUCUCCAUCUUUGUCUUGUUUGGCUAGUUCUUUUGCCGGCCGUUUAAGCAGACUAAUCAUAGCCUUCUUCACUUCUUGCGGAUCCAAUUUAUCUUUCAAUUUUUCGCUUGCCUUUACAGAUGGCAAAUUUAACGAUGACCAGGGUAUCGUAUUUCGAUCGGAAUUGGUAAAACUGCAUAACAAAAGAUCAUCAGUACCAAUUUCACAUACAAUUGAAUUUCGUAUCGCAUCGUUCUUAGUGUGAUACACCGUAUCUCGUGCAACGGCAGACGGUUUAUUAAGCUUCAACGAGACUCACCAGCGUUGCUGAGAAUGAUCUUCGAACGAAGCAACCAUCUUUGGGAUUUGAUAAUCGUCUUUAGGACUUGUUGGUAAGCUUUUCGUAGUAAAAUCAUCAAAGCUGAAAUUGGUAGCGACGGUCGCGUCCACUGCUGUCGAGGAGUCACCAAACGAGUGAAACAACGGGGAGAAAUCACGGUCAUGAUGGAUAUCGUCUUUGGUACUGAUUGUUUUUGCCGGAUGUUGUUUAGCUAGAGUACCGUAACUUUUAUCAUACUUUGUGUAACUCGGAACCAAUUUAUAGCAGUUUAUAGCAUUAUCCGUCGUUUCGAUCUUCUGGGUAUCUUUCUGAGGAAUGUUAGCCCGUGAUACCGGAGUAUACGAUACGUCGGACCAAGACACAGGUUUUGCAACCGUCACACCUUCGUUGGGGAUAUUAUCGCGAUUCGAAGAGUGUCGGACUUGCUGCAAGUUAUUGGUUUGGAAGGUAAUCGUAUUCGUGGCGUUUUCCACUUUCGAAGGGUCCUGCAAAUAUGUUUCUUCCAUUUUGCCUUUUUCUCCGUUUAAAUUAUUCACUAGUUCAUCCAUCACUUGCGACCACAGUUCAUUAUCGUCGAUAUUAUUUACUACGGUAUUGGAGACGACAGUAUCGCCAUCGGGCCUCCAAAACUGGAAAUUUUCGAAAUCCUGUUUGAAUCGUUCCUCGAUUCGCGAACCGGCUGUUGUCUGAUACGUAAACGAACUGUUCGGACUUGAUGUGUCACCGUAUGACUGACUCGAAGAAGAAGGCGAACAGCUUGAAGAACAGGAGAAAAUUUGCGCCGGUCUGCACGUUGAUGUGACGGUAGUCUAAUGAUUGACAUCGAACAAAUUAUACAUAUAUCACAAUAUUGAUCACAGAUGGAAUUUUCUAAGCAUAUAAGAAACGUAUACUAUAUCGAUUACCCGAGGAGAGCUGAUUGGGCUGUGAUUCGUCUUUGGUUGCGAUCUUCCCGAAGAUUGUGUAGAAAUGGGCAAAGCCGGUGAGUGAGUACGACUCGAUUCACGGCUCUCAGAACUGGAAACGAUCGUAUUACCAUCGGUCAAACAAGUAUCAAAGAAAGCUUCCAUCGUUUCCUGCGAACGUAGGAAACUCUUCUUUGUUACGUGUUGGGCCGCUUGAAAAGCUCCGCAUAGCACAUUCUCCAAUAAUAACAAGUCGUCGCUUAAAGCGUUCCCGACGAUCGUCGAU